UACGUAGGUGACAAGCGUUGUCCGGAUUUACUGGGCGUAAAGAGCGCGCAGGCGGUCGAUCAAGUCGAGUGUGAAAGCCCCCGGCUCAACUGGGGAGGGUCAUUCGAUACUGCUCGACUCGAAGGCAGGAGAGGGUAGUGGAAUUCCCGGUGUAGUGGUGAAAUGCGUAGAUAUUGGGAAGAACACCGGUGGCGAGGGCGGCGAGCUGGCCUGUACCUGACGCUGAGGCGCGACAGCGUGGGGAGCAAACAGG
rnacentral:rRNA from 1 species